GUGCCCACUUGGCAGCACAUAUACUAAAACUGGAAUGAUACAGAGAACUUUAGCAGGGUCCCUGUCCAAGAAUAAUAAUGCAAAUCUAUGAAAUGUUCCAUUUAAAA